ACUCCUACGGGAGGCAGCAGUGGGGAAUAUUGCACAAUGGGCACAAGCCUGAUGCAGCCAUGCCGCGUGUGUGAAGAAGGCCUUCGGGUUGUAAAGCACUUUCAGUCGUGAGGAAGGUAGUGUAGUUAAUAGCUGCAUUAUUUGUACGUUAGCGACAGAAGAAGCACCGGCUAACUCCGUGCCAGCAGCCGCGGUAAUACGGAGGGUGCGAGCGUUAAUCGGAAUUACUGGGCGUAAAGCGCAUGCAGGUGGUUUGUUAAGUCAGAUGUGAAAGCCCGGGGCUCAACCUCGGAAUAGCAUUUGAAACUGGCAGACUAGAGUACUGUAGAGGGGGUAGAAUUUCAGGUGUAGCGGUGAAAUGCGUAGAGAUCUGAAGGAAUACCGGUGGCGAAGGCGGCCCCCUGGACAGAUACUGACACUCAGAUGCGAAAGCGUGGGAGCAAACAGGAUUAGAUACCCCGU
rnacentral:rRNA from 1 species